GACAGCAGCCAUAUCACCCAGCACCUCUAAACUAGCUACCCACUGAAGCUAAGCAGGGUUGAGCCUGGUCACUGCCUGGAUGGGAGACCUCCUGGGAAGCUAUGGUUGCUGCUGGAA
ensembl:rRNA 5S_rRNA 5S ribosomal RNA